AUGGGUGAUGGCGUGCCUUUUGUAGAAUGAACCGGCGAGUUACGUUCUUGUGCAAGGUUAAGCUGAAGAAGGCGGAGCCGUAGCGAAAGCGAGUCUGAAUAGGGCGAAUGAGUACAAGGUCGUAGACCCGAAACCGAGUGAUCUACCCAUGUCCAGGGUGAAGGGGAGGUAACACUCUCUGGAGGCCCGAACCCACGCGUGUUGAAAAACGCGGGGAUGAGGUGUGGGUAGGGGUGAAAUGCCAAUCGAACUCGGAGAUAGCUGGUUCUCCCCGAAAUAGCUUUAGGGCUAGCCUCAAGGAACGAGCUGCGGAGGUAGAGCACUGAUUGGACGAGGGGCCCCUACCGGGUUACCGAAUUCAGUCAAACUCCGAAUGCCGCAUGCUUUGCCUUGGGAGUCAGACGGCGAGUGAUAAGAUCCGUCGUCGAAAGGGAAACAGCCCAGACCACCAGCUAAGGUCCCCAAGUAUACGUUCAGUGGAAAAGGAUGUGGAGUUGCCCAGACAACCAGGAUGUUGGCUUAGAAGCAGCCACCAUUGAAAGAGUGCGUAAUAGCUCACUGGUCGAGUGACUCUGCGCCGAAAAUGUACCGGGGCUAAACGUAUCACCGAAGCUGUGGGUGAACACCAUUAGGUGUUCGCGGUAGGGGAGCGUUCCAAGGGCAGAGAAGCCUGACCGUAAGGACAGGUGGAGCGUUUGGAAGUGAGAAUGCCGGUAUGAGUAACGAAUGAGGAGUGAGAAUCUCCUCCAUCGAAAGCCCAAGGUUUCCUGAGGAAGGCUCGUCCGCUCAGGGUUAGUCGGGACCUAAGCCGAGGCCGAAAGGCGUAGGCGAUGGAAGACAGGUUGAGAUUCCUGUACCACCUCAUUUUCGUUUGAGCGAUGGGGGGACGCAGGAAGGCAGGGAAGCGCACGGAUGGAAGAGUGCGUCCAAGCAGCGAGACGGAAUGCGAGGCAAAUCCCGCAUUCAUAUACGUGGGGCUGUGAUGGGGAGCGAAAUUAUAGUAGCGAAGUUCCUGUGCGUACACUGCCAAGAAAAGCCUCUAGUGAGAAAAUAGGUGCCCGUACCGUAAACCGACACAGGUAGGCAAGGUGAGAAUCCUAAGAUGUUCGGGAAAACUCUCGUUAAGGAACUCGGCAAAAUGACCCCGUAACUUCGGGAGAAGGGGUGCUCUGUUAGGGUGCAAGCCCGAGAGAGCCGCAGUGACUAGGCCCAAGCGACUGUUUAGCAAAAACACAGGUCUCUGCAAAGCCGCAAGGCGACGUAUAGGGGCUGACACCUGCCCGGUGCUGGAAGGUUAAGAGGAGGCGUUAUCCCUUCGGGGAGAAGCGCUGAAUUGAAGCCCCAGUAAACGGCGGCCGUAACUAUAACGGUCCUAAGGUAGCGAAAUUCCUUGUCGGGUAAGUUCCGACCCGCACGAAAGGUGCAACGACUUGGGCACUGUCUCAACGAGAGACCCGGUGAAAUUAUACUAUGCGUGAAGAUGCGCAUUACCCGCGACAGGACGGAAAGACCCCGUGGAGCUUUACUGUAGCCUGAUAUUGAAUGUGGGUACAGCUUGUACAGGAUAGGCAGGAGCCAUUGAAGCCGGACCGCUAGGUUCGGUGGAGGCGCCGGUGGGAUACUGCCCUGGCUGUAUCGACCUUCUAACCCAGUACCGUGAUCCGGUACGGAGACAGUGUCAGGUGGGCAGUUUGACUGGGGCGGUCGCCUCCUAAAGAGUAACGGAGGCGCCCAAAGGUUCCCUCAGAAUGGUUGGAAAUCAUUCGUAGAGUGUAAAGGCACAAGGGAGCUUGACUGCGAGACCUACAAGUCGAGCAGGGACGAAAGUCGGGCUUAGUGAUCCGGUGGUUCCGCAUGGAAGGGCCAUCGCUCAACGGAUAAAAGCUACCCCGGGGAUAACAGGCUUAUCUCCCCCAAGAGUCCACAUCGACGGGGAGGUUUGGCACCUCGAUGUCGGCUCAUCGCAUCCUGGGGCUGUAGUCGGUCCCAAGGGUUGGGCUGUUCGCCCAUUAAAGCGGUACGCGAGCUGGGUUCAGAACGUCGUGAGACAGUUCGGUCCCUAUCCGUCGUGGGCGCAGGAAAUUUGAGAGGAGCUGUCCUUAGUACGAGAGGACCGGGAUGGACACACCGCUGGUGUACCAGUUGUUCCGCCAGGAGCAUCGCUGGGUAGCUACGUGUGGAAGGGAUAAGUGCUGAAAGCAUCUAAGCAUGAAGCCCCCCUCAAGAUGAGAUUUCCCAUCACGUUAAGUGAGUAAGAUCCCUCAGAGACGAUGAGGUAGAUAGGUCCGGGGUGGACGCGUGGCGACACGUGGAGCUGACGGAUACUAAUCGAUCGAGGCCUUCUCUU
rnacentral:rRNA from 1 species